CCCUCCCCCACCCGUGCACCAUGCUUUCUCUCUAAAUAAAUGAAUAAACAUUUAAAUCUAUCUAUCUACCUAUCUAUCUAUGUAUCUAUGUAUAUUUAUAUUUGAAACCCUUCAGAAUAAACUUUUAACAAAUAAGUAAACCCAAGCCACUCCAAUAUUUUCCCCGUAUAUUCUCCCAAAGAAGGCUCUUCAGUGUUAGAAUGGUUGUUCCCUCACAAGUAGUACACAGGUUGAGACCAGAGAAAGAAUUCCAAGUGGAGGGUAAAACCCCAGGCCAUCAUGGGGGGCCAAACCCUCUUUCAAAUGGAGUGCUAUUUACUUAGGGGGUGAGGGGCUCUGUCUUGUGUGUCUUAAACCAGACUGUCCCUGUUGGGUGGAAGCAACAUAUUACACCUGGACAGCUCCCUGCCCCACCCUAGGUUAAGAAAUGGGAUUUGUAAAGACCAGUAGGUUGGAUCCAAGGCAGAGGGAGGAGGUAAAAUUAGAUGUCUCUUUUUGUGAGGCUUGGAUGAGGUUGAGGUCUGAGAUCAGAGGUCAAGGAUGGGGCUGGAGGGAUGGGCGUGUCACUAAGGUGAGUGUGCUGUGCCAAGACCUAAGAGGCUUCGGGAGCUGACCUUCCUGGCCUUCAUGCCUUUCUCCUUGGUGCCAGUUCUCUGGGAUGGAGACAGAGCUCCUACCCAUCUCCCCCUCAACCCCCCUGCCCAUCUCCCUCCCACACCAUUCUCCUCUCUUCUCUGUCCAGUUCUCUGAUCCAUUUCCAUUCUCUCCUUCCUCAAGCCCCUUCCUCAUCUCCAUUUGCCAUUCCCUGUCCUCCGCCCUGCCAGACACCCCAGUUCAGGGUCCAGGAGAAGGACAGCUUUUAUGUGGCUUGUAAAAUUCUAUUAUAUCUGUAUUCAAAACCUAGCAGCUGAGAAACACUGGUAAUAAGCGUGUUAUUAAGCGUGUAAAUACACUUCCACUCCAAGGCCUCUAAGGGGCAAGGGCUGGAUUCUCAGGCUGGGCAUCUCCCCUGCUUGUAAGUCCCUCCCCACCUGGCCUCCACCCCAGACUUGGACCUUGUGCCAAGGCCCAGGUCUCCUCCAGUCUCCAACCACCACCGUCCUGCAAAACCCAGACUCUUGGAGAAAGGGGGCGGGGGAAGGGGCCGAAGAAAAAAAACAUUAGGAAAAAAACUCCCACCCAGAGAGCAUUCUUUCUGCAGCACUCAGGAAAAAGGAUGUCUCACAGGGGACGGGAAGGCGAAAUUUUUUCACAUCCAAAUGGAUUGCAAUUUCCCUCCAUUUAGCACCUGAAGGUAAUUAGCUCGAAGAGACUGCCGAGUGCGAAACACGUUCACGGAACAUUAACUCUCACACAUUCUCCAGUUGCAGGGAAUUAAUAGGAAAGAUUAAAGUUUAAAGAGAGCAAAAUGCCAUUACCUCGCCAGCCACCUCUCUCCGCGGCAGUCUCCAGCCCCCGAAAACCUUCGGCCAGUGCUUGGGCCGGGGCUCGGGUCUCAGCCUCCAGCCUGGCUGGCUGGGGCAUCUGGGUGUGCCUCACCAAGAAGGCUAGCAUGUGCUGAUGUGCACGCACGUGUGCAAAACAGGGCAGCUCUGCAAGGCCAGUGCAGCCCCCCUCCCAUCCCCGAGAAGUUUGGGGUGGACAGGGCAGGUGUGUUCUCAUAGGCUGACUCCUGGCAUUGGUGUGUAUGGUGGCCCUGGGCGGGGGCGGAUGGGGGAGAUACUAGGAAGUGUUAUUAGCUUGGGCGUGCCCUGUGAUUUCGGUGCAGAGGGCGAGAUCUGGCAGCUUGGCCGGCAAUAGAGAAAUGGGGGGUGUCAGUCCCACCUUGGGUGUGUAGAGAGGCACUGGGUGAAGUGAUGGAGAGAGUUGCUUCCACUCUUGUGAGGCAGGCAGGAGCCACAAACAUACGUGUGCAUGCAUACGCAGGCUCCCACGACCACACACAGACGGCCUUUGUCACUCUGCUUUUUUCAAAGUUUAUGUAGGCUUCAAAUUGGAAAGGUUUCUGUGUUGCUUCAGUAUUUUAGGAAAAGAUGAAAGACAGAGAGAGGGAGACAGAGAGAGUGGGAGAGAGAGAGAGUGAGGGAGAGAGAGAGGGGCAGAGGCAGGCAGGAGAGAGAGAGCACGAGAUGAAAUUGAGACAUGGAAGAAUUUAUUGCCCAGAAAAUUCCAUUCUGCUAUCUGAUUCAAAAAGUCCAGUCCCCCCAGCUUCGGAAAAUCUAUUUUCCACAUUUUAAUACCCUGCAGAACAGUCCUCAUAACUCAUCCGAGUGUGUUAAGCACAGUUUUAUUAGAUCUGAAACAAAUUUUGGUGGGGAGAUACUAUAGGUCAUUAACCAUGGAGUAAUUUUAUCCUUGUUUCCCUAAUGAUGCCAUAAUGGCGAGCGAAUUUCUUAACUAAAGACCAAAGAACAUUUUGAAGGUCAGUUUCAUCUGUGAGCUCCUUCAAGCGCUUCUCAGAGAAGAUUGGAAAACUCGCCGAUUUUUUGAAGAGUCAUUAAUAAUGUGAAAGCUGAAAGCACCCUCCAUUUGCGUUCCUGCUUUUUACCUUUUAAUUUUAUAUCGUCCCCGCUCAGAGCCCCGCUCCCACUCCCUCACCCUCCUCUGGACCUCCCGCCUGCCUACCCACCCCACGCAGGGAACAAGGCUGCCCCAUACCAGGUACCAGGCUAGCUGUGAGGGGCAGACAGGGGCUGCAGGAGGGGAGGCAGAAGAGCUAGACAGGCCAGGGCCCCAAAGAGAUGGGGGCCUUUGCUAAAUUCCCAGAAUGUGGUGUACUGUGUGAGGGUAUUGUUAUAGGCAUGGUACACGUGUGCGUGUGUGCGUGUGUGCAAAUGUGCAGUGCAGGGGACUGGGGUCUCUGGAUUGCAUGCUGGCUGUGCACACACAUGCUAGGGACCAAUGGGGACUUAGUAGUCUCUAUAGGUGGGUGCCCUCUGUUGGACGCAGGUGGGGAAAGAGAACUGGAAACCAGCACUGGGUCCAGUGGCUUGGGCAGUGGGUCAGCUGGGGGACUUGAGGUAUCUCCCAACAGAGAUGGACAACACGUGCAAGGCAUGAAACAAUUGAUAGCGCAUUGUGAGCCCUGAUUACAAUGUGUGCACAUGAGCGUAUAUGUCCUGGGGGUGGUGAGGUCAUCAAGGCAAAAGCCCCAAGGGCCCUCUCUACUGGCAAAUAUUUAGACACUUGAAACAGUGACCAUUGUCUGCCCAUCCCUCACUCCUUGGACCACUCACUCCUUGCUCCCCAGGCCUGGAGCCCUUCAUUUGCCCACUUUACUCCCUCCUAAUCUCCAGUCUCUGGCUCCUUGGACCCCCCCCCCCCCCGCCUCCCAGUUCCACCCCUUCCCCUGAACACUCCUCCCCCCAGCUCCUCACCUAUCUGAUGGCUAUCAUUGCAGGGUGCCCAGCCAGGAGCCGGGGUGGGACAGCAUCUCUGUGUGUGUGCAGGUUUGGGGAGGAGGGGGCGGUGUGGUGACACUCCAUGCUCCCAGAUGUGGUGGCAGCGAUAAUUCCAAUUUUAUGCCUUUGUUAUGGCUUUAAUCACUUUCUUUAUGCGUUUUGUUCCAGCGAUCAGGGAGAGACACCUGAUAGGCAAAGAGGAUACCAGGGGAACCAUUUUUAUUUGGAAUGUGGUGAGAAGUCUAAUUAGAAUCUGAAUUCUGCUGAGCCUUGAAAUGGCCAGCACUUUAUCCUGAUCGCCUUAGAUAUUGUUUCGAGUCAAUCAUCUGUCAUGGUGCGGCAGGAGAGCCUCUCCCUUCACACCGCACCCCUCCCGCCACGGGGCCAGCCCAGGCACACUGGGGGAGGGGAGGCUCAGGCUUCCGCCCUCGUAGGGAUCUGUGCCUCCUUCUGGGGAGGGGGGGCUGUUUGGUAUAGCCAACCCUCCAUUGGUGAGGGCUGUCUUUGCUGGGUGCUGAGUUUCAGCUCAUGGGGGUGGAGAGAGGGGCUGCAGGAAGAGGGGCCUGAGAGGCCUGUAUUAGAAUUAGGAAAUAUUGAGGUGAGGCCAAGCUAGUCUGGGGCACCUCCUAAAUGCUCUCAGUACACUGGCCACCCCACCUCCUAUCAAUGGCCCACAGCGACUCUCCUCUCUUUACUGUCCCCUGGACAUAUUGUAUCUCUGCCACCUGCUCACUGUCCCUCAAACUCACUGCUCCCAUUGCCAACCCCUCCCUGACCAACACUUGCCACACGUUCAGCUCCUGGUCUCCGACUUUCCUCCCUCCAGUCCUGCCGCUGGACCACCAAUCUGGCUUGUUCUGCCAUCUGUCGAGUCCCUGGACUUGUUCCACCUCCUCCAGAAAGCCUUCCCUGACUACCUGAACCCACACAGGUGAGCUCCUCGAGAGGUGGACAAUUACGACACAGGCCCCCACCUGGCGAUGGCCGCGCUGGCUGCCGACACUCCUCCCACAAGACCCUGCUCCAUUUAUCUUUCUCCUGCCUUCAGAUGAUUUCCAGUUGCCUCUCUCUUUUUCUAAACUGUUUUGGUGUGUGUGUGUGUGUGUGUGUGUGUGUGUGUGUGUGUGUGUGUGUGUCCUAAAUCUGCUCAAACCCUUUUUGAGCAUAGCAAAAUGUAAAGUAGAAAUAAAUAUUACUCUGAAUGAUAAUUUCACCUCCCCAAUCACAUCUUGUGCUCCCAAAGUCUGACCAUUUCUUCUCUGUAUCCUGCCUUUUCCACUAACUAUAAGCACACAGGACCAGGCACAGAGUGGGGAGCUGUGCAUUGCCUCCAGAAGUCAGAGAUUCACGGAAGCUUUCUGCUUCCUGCUUCCCCUCAUACAUAACCCCCAAUACAUACCUACUAUGUGACAGAUGUAGGCAUAGUUGGGGGACUAUUAGUAGCCAAAGGAAGUGCCAUUUCUGGCAGGAAAGAGGAGCAUGUGCUCUAUGAAUAAUGUUUCCAUGGGAGAUGGCCAAUGUGGGUCCUUUUUAGAUGGUUGGGGCACUCAGUGGCCCUCUAGCCACUUAGUGUGCCCCAUAAAGCAGAAUGUCCUCAUUGAUGUCAGUAUCACUGGGCCUCCUGGAUGGUCACUGCCCUCUCGAGAUUAUGUAGCCAGGGUACCUUAUGUAUGGUCCAAGGGGCAGUGUGACCAGAUGCUGCCAUAGAAAAAUACAGACUCAGAGGGUCCCCAGAAUACCCUUCUCAAUCUGCUCACUUCCCCAUCCCUAUCUGGACCCAAGCUUGAAUGCAAUCCUGACUCAUUUUAUUUGAGGAUGGUCUCUUUCCCUCCUUGCACCUCAGUUCUUCCUGGUCCCUGAGCUGUGGGCAAGGAGUGGGGAUGGCACUAACCAUAGUCCAGCAAAUCAUGGGGCUUGUUGGGAGACAGUUCUCUGGAAUGCAUUGCCAGGACUCUAUUCCUUUCUCCCUCCCAGCAGCCCCUAUCCGGAGGCAUGGCUGUACUGACACCACACUGAUGGAUGGAGAGUGAAGAGAUACAGGGAGAUGGAGAAGGAAUCCAUAGCCAGGGGUCCUCAUUUAUAGGGGAAGGCAGGACAGUGGCCGGAGGGACUUAGGAGCAAGCUUCCUAGUGGGAAAUUGCAAGCUGCCAUUAGCGUUUAGGUACAAGUUAAUAUAUCUGAGGGAGUGUGUGUGUGUGUGUGUGUGUGUGUGUGUGUGCGUGCGCACACUCACACGCGCACACACACACACACCCGCAUGUGAUGGAGGGUCAGUAGGUGAGGGGUUAAGGUCCCUGUAGGGAAGAAGCAGAACGCUGGCACACUUGGUCUGCCCAUAGAGAAGGGUGGGAGUUCAAGGGUGGCUCAUGCUCCAACUACUGUUUCUCCAUCUAUACAAAUAGUGGGGAGAUGAAGCUCCUGGCCCAGGGAGCACAUGUGUAGGGUGAGGGUGGUGGGCGGGAGGACAGAGAUGCCAAAGCUACUAAAGGCCUAGUCUCUUCCCAUCUCAGACACCCUCAAGGCACUGUCCUCUCUCUACAUCCAGAGCUCGGCUGCAGUGGGGGGAGAUGAAAAGGAGGAGAAACUGUUGGAUAAAAAGAAAUUCAAAAAAAAAAAGUAAUCUCUCCCAAAUGUAGCCACAGUGCAAAGCUCUCCACUGUUCUCUCCAGUCUCUCAGGAGAUCUCAGUCACUUGGGAACUUGCAGCUGUCACCCCCGAGCAGGUGGGAGAGCCAAACUCUGGGAAGAUGAAGUUCUCCUCAAGAGAAAUGAAAACGUGGGCCUACACAAAAACUUGUACAACAAUGGUUGGAGCAGUAUUUUUCAUAAUGGCCCAAAAGUGGAAAGAACCCAAAUGUCCCAUCAACUGGUGAAUACGUAAAUAAAAUGUAGUAUAUCCAUACAAUGGGGUAUUAUUUGGUCAUGAAAAGUAAUGAAGUACUGAUUCAUGUUACAACACGGGUGAAUAUUGAAGACUCUAUGUUAAGUAAAAGAAGCCAAUCUCCAAAAAAAAACCAAACACCAUGCAUUCUUUUAGUUCCUUUACACAACGCGUCCAGAGUCAGCAAAUAUACAGAAAAAGAAAAUAGAUUAAGAGUUGCUUAGAUCUGGGGGUGGGGAGUAUUGGGGGAAGAGGAGAGACUGCCAAUGGGUAUGGGGUUGGGGGAGAUGGUUCAAAUGUCCUAAAAUGUCUCACAGUGAGGGGUGCUGGUUUGAUUAAGCGUCUCACUUCGGCUCAGGUCACAAUCUCAUGGUUUUGUAGGUUUCAGCCCCACGUUGGGCUCUGCUGCUUCAGAUCCUGUCUCCCUCUCUCUUUGCCCCUCCACUCUCUCUCUCUCUGUCUCUGUCUCAAAAAUAAAGAAGCAUUUUCCAAAAAAUCUUAAAUGGCUUACGGUGAUGGUUGCACGACCCUGUAGAUCUACUAAAAACCACUGACUUGAACACUUUAGAUAGAUGAAUUGCAUGAUAUGAGAAUUAUAUCUUGAUAAAGCUGUUAUUUUUAAAAAGUAACAUGACUUGCUUAGGGUCUCUCCCAGCAACUGGGAGGUGGCACUGGUACUAGAAUGUGGUCUCUUGACCCUAAGCUCGGUGCUCUUUCCACGAGCCCUACAGUGUCUCAAAAAUCCGGCCAUGGAGACUCGAAGGCCAAAUCCUAUAUGUGCAGGGGUGUCCACAUCACAUCUCGGCUUUUCUGUGGGGUUGUCAAAUUUCUGUCUCUGAGAGUGCGACUUGUUAUGUGUGUGCACAUAAAGAUUUGUGGUCUCACAACUAUGUGGACCUCACCAAGCAUGGCUCUGCACAUCUGUGUGUAGGCCCGUGGGUCUCUCGAUUGUGAGCGUUGUCUGUGCCCAUGAACUUCUGCUCGCUGGCGCACCGUGUCUCUGGGCGUUUGCAUUUGCAGGUAUAUAUCAGGUUGCGCCCAAGUCUCUGAAUGUCAGCGCAUGCGUCUGGGCCCACGAAGCCAGGGGACUUCAUGGGAGUCUGUGUUCAUGUGUUCUUGCAUGGCAGUGUUUCUACCUGUGUAAUGUGUCUCAGUGGGCGCCCGUGCAUUUCUUAAUGCGUCAGCCUACGAGUCUGGGCUCAUAUGCCUUCACCUCUGGGGCUCUGCCUGUGAUAUGUGUUAAUGUGUCAGUGCAUCUGUACACAUGUCCAUCCACAUGUUGGUAUGCUGGCGUCCACGCAGGUCCAUCUGUGGGCGUUUGCACCUAGGUGGCAGGGGCCCACGGGCCUGUCCAUCUGAGUCUGUGUGUCUGAACCCCUCCCGCAGGCACCAGUCCCAGAAGGCGCCUGCCUCCCCACCCCCGCCUCUGACAGCCGUGGAGAGAGCUACACAGUAAAUUCAUGGCCGCCCGGCUGGGAAACAGGCGGCUGCAAUGGAAAGGAAGCAUGGAUUUGCAUAUUGAAUUAAAAUUAAGAGCUAAUUAUGCAAAUAAAUUAUGACAUUUGGCAGGAGAAUUUGCUUCAAGAUCAUUUAUUACGUUCUUUUUAUAACAGUGUGAGCAUUUAACGGUCAAAGACAAUAUUUUAAGGGAAAAUUAACGCAAGAUUAUUAACCUAAAAACAAUUCCACAUUAAUGAGAUGGUGAGCUGGUCCCCCCCACACACCUGGGCAGGUCUAACGCCUAGACGGGGAAGGCCUUUUUCUCCUCCUCUCCUUCCUUCUCCCAGUCCGCAGGGGUGCAGGUGGCAGGGGGCUGGGAAAGGGUGAGUGUGCCUGGGUUUGUAUUUCUCGAUGGGGAGGUCUUGCUGAGCUGAAACUCCCACCUAAGAUCAGAGCUCUGGGCUGCAUUUAGGAGGCCACACAGAGGAUGAGUUAAGCCCCACCCCCAAACAUGCCUAGUCGUGAAAAACAUGAUCUUGGCCUUGGGAAGCCCCCAUUCUAAGGAGAAAGACAGAGCCCCACCGUAGAAAUGGCUCUGUAAAUACCAGUUGGAUGGGACCUGGAAAGUAGGGGUUAAACAGUGUGGUUGUGCCCCACCUUAUCCAGCCCCCUCUCCCUCCUCCCAGAUUCCCUGGUGUCCUCCAGUCACUCAGUGCUCCAGAGCUCUGAGCUCUACAUCCCUCCAGGUCCCAUUGUCUCGAUUUUCCCUACAACCUUAAUCUG